rnacentral:rRNA from 1 species
AGUGAACGCUGGCGGUAGGCCUAACACAUGCAAGUCGAACGGCAGCACAGUAAGAGCUUGCUCUUACGGGUGGCGAGUGGCGGACGGGUGAGGAAUACAUCGGAAUCUACUUUUUCGUGGGGGAUAACGUAGGGAAACUUACGCUAAUACCGCAUACGACCUACGGGUGAAAGCAGGGGAUCUUCGGACCUUGCGCGAUUGAAUGAGCCGAUUUCGGAUUAGCUAGUUGGCGGGGUAAAGGCCCACCAAGGCGACGAUCCGUAGCUGGUCUGAGAGGAUGAUCAGCCACCCUGGAACUGAGACACGGUCCAGACUACUACGGGAGGGAGCAGUGGGGAAUAUUGGACAAUGGGCGCAAGCCUGAUCCAGCCAUACCGCGUGGGUGAAGAAGGCCUUCGGGUUGUAAAGCCCUUUUGUUGGGAAAGAAAAGCAGCAGGUUAAUACCCCGCUGUUCUGACGGUACCCAAAGAAUAAGCACCGGCUAACUUCGUG